rnacentral:rRNA from 1 species
CACGUAGGGCGCGAGCGUUGUCCGGAAUUAUUGGGCGUAAAGAGCUCGUAGGCGGCCUGUUGCGUCCGCUGUGAAAGCCCGGGGCUUAACCCCGGGUCUGCAGUGGAUACGGGCAGGCUAGAGGUAGGUAGGGGAGAAUGGAAUUCCCGGUGUAGCGGUGAAAUGCGCAGAUAUCGGGAGGAACACCUAUGGCGAAGGCAGCUCGCUGGGACGUUACUGACGCUGAGACGCGAAAGCGUGGGGAGCAAACAGG